rnacentral:rRNA from 1 species
GACGAACGCUGGCGGCGUGCUUAACACAUGCAAGUCGAACGGAAAGGCCCUGCUUUUGUGGGGUGCUCGAGUGGCGAACGGGUGAGUAACACGUGAGUAACCUGCCCUUGACUUUGGGAUAACUUCAGGAAACUGGGGCUAAUACCGCAUAGGAGCUCCUGCUGCAUGGUGGGGGUUGGAAAGUUUCGGCGGUUGGGGAUGGACUCGCGGCUUAUCAGCUUGUUGGUGGGGUAGUGGCUUACCAAGGCUUUGACGGGUAGCCGGCCUGAGAGGUGGACCGGCCACAUUGGGACUGAGAUACGGCCCAGACUCCUACGGGAGGCAGCAGUGGGGAAUAUUGCACAAUGGGCGGAAGCCUGAUGCAGCAACGCCGCGUGCGGGAUGACGGCCUUCGGGGUGUAAACCGCUUUCGCCGGUGACGAGGCGUGAGUGACGGUAAUGGGUAAAGAAGCACCGGCUAACUACGUG